CUUUUUGAGGCAGCUACCAGAAGGGAGCACCAAGCAGAUGCAGCUCCCCUUCCCUCCCAUUCCACCAUCCACUGUCCCCAGCAAGAACCUGCGGGAGGGUGGCCCAAUGGGGAGAAAACUAAGGAUUCGGUGUUGGGACCACUCCUGCCCUGACCUGCCCUGUGACUCCGUCAUACUCUCCAAAGGCCAGACCCUCCUAGACCAGCUGGAACCACCAUCAAGAUGUCCCCAGCCAUGUCAGACUCUGGGGCCCCAGGCGGAGGGCAACCAGAUGUCUUCAGCUCCAAGUCUGGCCUCUCCUCCCAGCAAGCAGCCACCUCUGAUGGCCAACAGGUGCUGCUGUGUGCCCAGAUCAAGAAUCCACCUCUGCGGAAUUCAAAACCGCUGAGGGUUCUGGGACAGCAGGGAGGAGAGAGGUGGAGACGCAACAUGGGUUUUCUGUGUUCAGACUGCAGAGACCUUGGAAAGGAUCAACCAUAUACAAUGUCCAUUUCCUGCCCUCUAACCUGGCAGGGGAGCAAGGCCCAGCCAAGGAGUUACAGAAACUGAGGCUUGGCCAGGCGUGGUGGCUCACACCUGCAAUCUCAGCACUGGGAGGCCAAGGUGGGCAGAUCGCUUGAGCCCAGGAGUUUGAGACCAGCCCGAGGAACAUGGCGAAACCCCAUCUCUACAAAAAAUACAGAAAUUAGCCAAGUGUGGUGGCACGUGUCUGUAGUUUCAGCUACUCAGGAGGCUUAGGUGGGAGGAUCACCUGAGCCUGGGAGGUAGAGGUUGCAAUGAGCAGAGAUUGCUCUCCAGCCAGGGAGACAGAGUGAGACCCUGUCCCAAAAUAAAUAAAUAAAUAAGAAUAAAAUUUAAAAAAGAAACUGAGGCUCAAAGAGAACAAGUGACUAGUUCAAGGACUCAUUUUCACUAAGCUGGGACCAGAUCCCAGGGUUCUAACCGCUUACCAGAUCCUUUUCCAUUACCCUCUUGUUUAACCACAUCUUGAGUACCUGCUGUGGGCCAGGAGCUGAGAUACUUUGGAGAGUCUUUCAGGAAUAUUGUCCCAGCUCCUGAAACCUUUAGGGAUCCCCAAGUUCUAGACUCUGGCCAAAGCCGGCUGCCUUCACCCCCACCAAGGGAGACCCCCACAAACCAAGGGAGCCCUGCUCUCAGGUGCACAGGGCCUCUUCUCUCUGGGAGGUGACAGUUUUUUGAGGGUGGGGCCAGACACCUCCCAGGCUAUCCCUCACAGGAGAGGAUGGUCUGGACUGGAGGAGUAGAAGCAAGUAGGCACUGGGGAAGGGGAGGAGAGCGUCCUGAGUCCCAAGGGUCAGAGAUAGGAGCAAGAAGGAAACUGACGUGUUGCAGGGCGUGUGGUUAAGGAAGUGAGAGAGGGGCUCAGGGUCGAUUCUGCCUGCUUUUCCUUCCUCCAGCUUGCUCAGCACUCUUCCCAGAAUGUGGGCCCCAAACUGCCAGGUGACAAACAAUGCCCCCACCCCAAGAGAGUCAUCCAGCAUGUUUGAAGCUCCAUCUGGUCCUGUACACCAGUUGCACACCACCAAACGCAGACCCAUGACCACUCCACAACCUCGCACACAGACAGGGCAAAUCCCACCACAGAUCCGUGCAUCCCAGGCAUGCAGGCAAUGCGAUACUGACACAUGCCCGCCCCGCCCACGCCUGGGCCUCUGAACCCUGCUCCAGUCUCCUCAGUCAAGGGCGGCGGCCCCCUCAGGCCUCUUCCACCCUUUUGCCCCAUUCAGAUGCCUGGUUCCCAGCAUUGCUUGGGUAGAGACUCCCGCCUGACAAGCCCCAGCAGGCCAAGUUGAUGAGCCGGCCAAGCAAGCCUGUGUCUCCGCAGCGCCCUCCAUGUACACAUAACCCCCAUCACCGGGAACCUGGGCACCCCGCACUGGCACUAUGUCUGGCCCACGGGUAGGGGAUGGUUCCCAGGGUCUCCCCAGACCCAGUGCUCUUCCCCUGUAGGGCCACUCUUGCCCAGGGUUAGGAUGGACUGUGCUCCCUCUCCCUCAAACUAGGCCAGAGCCACGGAAGCCUGGGAAGGGAGAUGAGGAAGCACUUGUCACUCCAGACAUCCCACCACCAUCAGGGAGGUGGGCUGAGAUAAUGCCAAAUGCACAAAAUCCUCAAAAUCUGUCUGGGCAUGAUGAUUCAUGCCUAUAAUCCCAGCACUCUGGGAGGCCAAGGCAGGAGGAUCGCUUGAGCCCAGAAGUUCAAGACCAGCCUGGGCAACACAGCGAAACCCCGUCUCUACAAAAAAUAUAAAAAUUAGCCAGGUGUGGUAGUGCAUGCCUGUGGUCUCAACUACUCAGGAGGCUGAGGUGGGGAGGAUCACCUGAACCCAGGGAGGUCAAGGCUGCAGUGUGAGACCCGGUCUCAAAAAAAAAAAAAAAAAGGCUGGGCAACUUGGCAAGACCCCAUCUCUACAAAAAAUUUAAAAAUUAAUCGGGGAUGGUGGCGUGCACCUCUGGUCCCAGCUAUUCAGGAGGCUAAGGUGGGAAGAUCACUUGAGCCCAGGAAGUCAAGGGUGCAGUGAGCUGUGUUCGCGCCACUGCACUCCAGCCUGGGUGACGGACCAAGACCCUGUCUCAAAAAAAAAAAAAAAAAAAAAACUCCCCAAGUUCUUUCAGUGGCAGCACAGCUCAGGGGCUGACACACGGGAUCUGGAGUCCUCUGGAGGCUGAGUCAGAGCCCUAUCUCUACCACUUUCUAGAUAUGAGACUUUGGGUGAGUUACUUAACCUCUUUAAGCCUUGGUUCCUCAUCAAUAAAAUGGUAAUGA
rnacentral:lncRNA from 1 species